rnacentral:rRNA from 1 species
UACGUAGGGGGCAAGCGUUGUCCGGAUUUAUUGGGCGUAAAGAGCGUGUAGGCGGCCAGAUAGGUCCGUUGUGAAAACUCGAGGCUCAACCUCGAGACGCCGAUGGAAACCAUCUGGCUAGAGUCCGGAAGAGGAGAGUGGAAUUCCUGGUGUAGCGGUGAAAUGCGCAGAUAUCAGGAAGAACACCAAUGGCGAAGGCAGCUCUCUGGGACGGUACUGACGCUGAGACGCGAAAGCGUGGGGAGCGAACAGG